CCCAGACUCCUACGGGAGGCAGCAGUGGGGAAUAUUGCACAAUGGGGGAAACCCUGAUGCAGCGACGCCGCGUGAGUGAAGAAGUAUUUCGGUAUGUAAAGCUCUAUCAGCAGGGAAGAAAAUGACGGUACCUGACUAAGAAGCCCCGGCUAACUACGUGCCAGCAGCCGCGGUAAUACGUAGGGGGCAAGCGUUAUCCGGAUUUACUGGGUGUAAAGGGAGCGUAGACGGCAUGGCAAGUCAGAUGUGAAAGCCCGGGGCUCAACCCCGGGACUGCAUUUGAAACUGUCAGGCUGGAGUGCAGGAGAGGUAAGUGGAAUUCCUAGUGUAGCGGUGAAAUGCGUAGAUAUUAGGAGGAACACCAGUGGCGAAGGCGGCUUGCUGGACUGUAACUGACGUUGAGGCUCGAAAGCGUGGGGAGCAAACAGGAUUAGAUACCCCUGUA
rnacentral:rRNA from 1 species